rnacentral:tRNA from 2 species
GGCCCUGCAAAUGCUGGGUUUAACGUCUGCCUUCUAAGCAGGUUGUCGCAGGUUCGAUUCCUGCAGGGGUCGCCA